rnacentral:rRNA from 1 species
CUACGUGCCAGCAGCCGCGGUAAUACGUAGGGUGCGAGCGUUAAUCGGAAUUACUGGGCGUAAAGCGGGCGCAGACGGUUACUUAAGCAGGAUGUGAAAUCCCCGGGCUCAACCUGGGAACUGCGUUCUGAACUGGGUGACUAGAGUGUGUCAGAGGGAGGUAGAAUUCCACGUGUAGCAGUGAAAUGCGUAGAGAUGUGGAGGAAUACCGAUGGCGAAGGCAGCCUCCUGGGAUAACACUGACGUUCAUGCCCGAAAGCGUGGGUAGCAAACAGGAUUAGAUACCCUGGUAGUCCACGCCCUAAACGAUGUCGAUUAGCUGUUGGGCAGCUUGACUGCUUAGUAGCGAAGCUAACGCGUGAAAUUGACCGCCUGGGGAGUACGGUCGCAAGAUUAAAACUCAAAGGAAUUGACGGGGACCCGCACAAGCGGUGGAUGAUGUGGAUUAAUUCGAUGCAACGCGAAGAACCUUACCAAGUCUUGACAUACUG